rnacentral:RNase_P_RNA from 1 species
CGAGAUGGGGGAAUUGCCGCCGGUGGAUCUUCGGGUUCACGGGAGGAAAGUCCGGACACCAUAUGGCAGCGUAGCGGAUAACGUCCGUCCACCGUGAGGUGAGGACCAGUGCAACAGAGAGAAUGUACGGGCUAUGAUCCUGGAUACGGGAACGGGAGUUCCAGGGGAGUCGCAGUAGUGAAAGCAGGUAAACUCUACGCGGUGCAAGUCCAAAUAGGCCUGUGCUAACUUCGGUUUGAAGGGCGGCCAGUCCAAGCAGGCGGGUAGGACGCUUGAGCCCAAGGGUAAUCUUGGGCCUAGACGAAUGGCAAUUUAACGACAGGAUCCGGCUUACACCCUGUCUCGGCUU